UACAGAGGGUGCAAGCGUUGCUCGGAAUCAUUGGGCGUAAAGGGCAGGUAGGUGGUCUGAUUUGUCUGGAGGUGAAAGCCUUGGGCUUAACCCAAGAAGUGCCCCGGAAACGGUCAGACUUUUGAGUCUUGGAGAGGGUUGCGGAAUUCCCGGUGUAGCGGUGAAAUGCGUAGAGAUUAGGAAGAACACCAGUGGCGAAGGCGACUUACUGGACUGUAACUGACGCUGAGGCAUGAAAGCGUGGGGAGCAAACAGGG
rnacentral:rRNA from 1 species